GUGCCCUAAUACAUGCAAGUCGAANGCUUCUUUCCUCCCGAGUGCUUGCACUCAAUUGGAAAGAGGAGUGGCGGACGGGUGAGUAACACGUGGGUAACCUACCCAUCAGAGGGGGAUAACACUUGGAAACAGGUGCUAAUACCGCAUAACAGUUUAUGCCGCAUGGCAUAAGAGUGAAAGGCGCUUUCGGGUGUCGCUGAUGGAUGGACCCGUGGUGCAUUAGCUAGUUGGUGAGGCAACGCCCCCCCCCCGCCACGAUGCAUAGCCGACCUGAGAGGGCGAUCGGCCACCUGGGACUGAAACACGGCCCAGACUCCUACGGGAGGUUUCAGUAGGGAAUCUUCGGCAAUGGACGAAAGUCUGACCGAGCAACGCCGCGUGAGUGAAGAAGGUUUUCGGAUCGUAAAACUCUGUUGUUAGAGAAGAACAAGGACGUUAGCAACUGAACGUCCCCUGACGGUAUCCAACCAGAAAGCCACGGCUAACUACGUGCCAGCACCGCGGAAAUACGCAGGUGGAACGCGUUGUUCGGAUUUAUUGGGGAUAAAGCGAGCGUACGCGGUUUCUUAAGUCUGAUGUGAUAUCCCCCCGGCUCCUCCGGGGACGAGUCAUAUGUACACUCGUGAGACUUGAGAGUGCAAGAGGAGAGCGUAAUGCUUAGAUCUUGACNCCAUUAUUUCUCAUU
rnacentral:rRNA from 1 species